rnacentral:rRNA from 1 species
CCUACGGGAGGCUGCAGUGGGGAAUAUUGCACAAUGGGGGAAACUCUGAUGCAGCGACGCCGCGUGAGUGAAGAAGUAUCUCGGUAUGUUAAGCUCUUUCAGCAGGGAAGUAAAUGACGGUACCUGUCUAAGAAGCCCCGGCUAACUACGUGCCAGCAGCCGCGGUAAUACGUAGGGGGCAAGCGUUAUCCGGAUUUACUGGGUGUAAAGGGAGCGUAGACGGCAGAGAAAGUCUGAAGUGAAAGCCCGAGGCCCAACUUCGGGACUGCUUUGGAAACUGCCCGGCUAGAGUGCUGGAGAGGUAAGCGGAAUGCGUAGUGUAGCGGUGAAAUGCGUAGAUAUUAGGAGGAACACCAGUGGCGAAGGCGGCUUACUAGACAAUUACUGACGUUGAGGCACGAAAGCGUGGGGAGCGAACAGGAUUAGAUACCCCUGUAGUC